AUCAAUAAGCGGAGGAAAAGAAACCAACAGGGAUUGCCUCAGUAACGGCGAGUGAAGCGCAACAGCUCAAAUUUGAAAUCUGGCUCUCGGGCCCGAGUUGUAAUUUGUAGAGGAUGNUUUUGGUGCGGUGCCUUCCGAGUUCCCUGGAACGGGACGCCAUAGAGGGUGAGAGCCCCGUCUGGUUGGACGCCAAUCCUCUGUAAAGCUCCUUCGACGAGUCGAGUAGUUUGGGAAUGCUGCUCUAAAUGGGAGGUAUAUGUCUUCUAAAGCUAAAUACCGGCCAGAGACCGAUAGCGCACAAGUAGAGUGAUCGAAAGAUGAAAAGAACUUUGAAAAGAGAGUUAAAAAGUACGUGAAAUUGUUGAAAGGGAAGCGCUUGUGACCAGACUUGGGCUUGGUUGAUCAUCCAGGGUUCUCCCUGGUGCACUCUUCCGGCCCAGGCCAGCAUCAGUUCGCCCCGGGGGAAAAAGGCUUCGGGAAUGUGGCUCUCUCCGGGGAGUGUUAUAGCCCGCUGCGUAAUACCCUGUGGCGGACUGAGGUUCGCGCAUUCGCAAGGAUGCUGGCGUAAUGGUCAUCAGUGACCCGUCUUGAAACACGGACCAAGGAGUCGUCUUCGUAUGCGAGUGUUCGGGUGUCAAACCCCUACGCGAAAUGAAAGUGAACGCAGGUGAGAGCUUCGGCGCAUCAUCGACCGAUCCUGAUGUUUUCGGAUGGAUUUGAGUAAGAGCAUACGGGGCCGGACCCGAAAGAAGGUGAACUAUGCCUGUGUAGGGUGAAGCCAGAGGAAACUCUGGUGGAGGCUCGCAGCGGUUCUGACGUGCAAAUCGAUCGUCAAACAUGGGCAUGGGGGCGAAAGACUAAUCGAACCUUCUAGUAG
rnacentral:rRNA from 1 species